CCCUUAGAUGUUCUGGGCCGCACGCGCGCUACACUGACUACUUCAACGAGUUGUUUCCUUGAUCGAAAGGUCUGGGUAAUCUUUGAAAGGUAGUCGUGAUGGGGAUAGAUCCUUGCAAUUUUUGAUCUUCAACGAGGAAUUCCUAGUAAACGCAAGUCAUCAGCUUGCAUUGAUUACGUCCCUGCCCUUUGUACACACCGCCCGUCGCACCUACCGAUUGAAUGGUCCGGUGAAUCUUUAGGACUGUGGCUGAGGCCUUGCCUUGUGCGGGUCUGGCCGUGGGAAUUUAGUUAAACCUUACCAUUUAGAGGAAGGUGAAGUCGUAAC
rnacentral:rRNA from 1 species